rnacentral:piRNA from 1 species
UGCCAAAUGUAUGGGAAACAAGGGUAGA